GCCAACGACCAUACCAUGCUGAAUAUACCGGUUCUCGUCCGAUCACCGAAGUCAAGCAGCAUCGGGCGC
rnacentral:rRNA from 1 species